UACGGAGGGUGCGAGCGUUACCCGGAUUUACUGGGUGUAAAGGGCGUGUAGGCGGUCUCUCAAGUCCGAUGCUAAAGACCGAAGCUCAACUCCGGGGGUGCGUUGGAUACUGUGAGGCUAGACGGUCGGAGAGGGUAGCGGAAUUUCCGGAGUAGCGGUGAAAUGCGCAGAUACCGGAAGGAACGCCAAUAGCGAAGGCAGCUACCUGGACGAUUGGUGACGCUGAGGGGCGAAAGCGUGGGGAGCAAAUCGG
rnacentral:rRNA from 1 species